rnacentral:rRNA from 1 species
GACGUAGGGGGCGAGCGUUGUCCGGAUUUAUUGGGCGUAAAGAGCGCGUAGGCGGUCCGGAAAGUCGGAUGUGAAAACCCGUGGCUCAACCACGGGCCUGCAUCCGAUACUGGCGGGCUCGAGGCAGGCAGGGGAGAUCGGAAUUCCUGGUGUAGCGGUGAAAUGCGCAGAUAUCAGGAAGAACACCCGUGGCUAAGGCGGCUCUCUAGUACGGUACUGACGCUGAGACGCGAAAGCGUGGGGAGCGAACAGG